AUUGAACGCUGGCGGCAUGCUUUACACAUGCAAGUCGAACGGUAACAGGGAGCUUGCUCCGCUGACGAGUGGCGAACGGGUGAGUAAUGCGUCGGAACGUGCCGAGUAGUGGGGGAUAACGCAUCGAAAGGUGUGCUAAUACCGCAUACGAACUGAGGUUGAAAGUGGGGGACCUUCGGGCCUCACGCUAUUCGAGCGGCCGACGUCUGAUUAGCUAGUUGGUGAGGUAAAGGCUCACCAAGGCGACGAUCAGUAGCGGGUCUGAGAGGAUGAUCCUCCACACUGGGAAUGAGACACGGCCCAGACUCCUACGGGAGUCAGCAGUGGGGAAUUUUGGACAAUGGGCGCAAGCCUGAUCCAGCCAUGCCGCGUGUCUGAAGAAGGCCUUCGGGUUGUAAAGGACUUUUGUCCGGGAGCAAAGACCCAGUGCUAAUAACGCUGGGGGCUGAGAGUACCGGAAGAAUAAGCACCGGCUAACUACGUGCCAGCCGCCGCCGUAAUAC
rnacentral:rRNA from 1 species